AUGGGGCGGGUUCAACUUCCAAGGCACAAAUGCCAGUGGGAUUUUCAGGAAUUUCACACCACAGUUCAACUUCCAAGGCACAAUCCCGGUGGUUUUUGGGAAUUCUCUCAAUCCCAAGGCACAGUUUGGGAGGUUUUUCAGGAAUUUCACACCACGGUUCAACUUCCAAGGCACAAAUUCCAAGGCACAAAUCCAAGGCACAAAUUCCAAGACACAAUUCCGGUGGGAUUUUCAGGAAUUUCACACCACAGUUCAACUUCCAAGGCACAAUUCCAAGGCACAAAUUCCAGGACACAAUCCCAAGGCACAAUCCCGGUGGCUUUUAGGAAUCUCUCGACAUGGUCACAUUCCAAGAGCCUCUUUUUUAGGAAUUCUCUCACUUCCCAAGGCACAGUUUGGGAGGUUUUUCAGGAAUUUCACACCACGGUUCAACUUCCAAGGCACAAAAUUCCAGGACACAAUCCCAAGGCACAAAUCCCAAGGCACAAUCCCGGUGGUUUUCAGGAAUUUCUCGACACGGUCACACUCCAAGAACCUCUUUUUUUAGGAAUUCUCCAUUUCCAAGGCACAGAUUCCAAGGCACAGUUCCAGUGGGAUUUUCAGGAAUUUCACACCACAGUUCAACUUCCAAGGCACAAAUUCCAAGGCACAAAUUCCAAGGCACAAUGCUGGUGGUUUUUGGGAAUUCUCUCAAUCCCAAGGCACGGUUUGGGAGGUUUUUCAGGAAUUUCACACCACGGUUCAACUUCCAAGGCACAAAUCCAAGGCACAAAUUCCAAGGCCCAAAUUCCAAGGCCCAAUCCUGGUGGUUUUCAGGAAUUCUUUCCAAAGGCACAAUCCCAGUGGUUUUUCAGGAAUUCUCUCCCUUCCCAAGGCACAAUCCCAGUGGUUUUUCAGGAAUUUUCCCCCCACGGUUCAACUCCCCAAGGCACAAUUCCAGCAGUUUUUUCCCAAAUUUCUCAACACACUCCAAGAGCCUUUUUUUUAAUUUUUUUUAAGGAAUUUUCUCAGCUCUGA
rnacentral:lncRNA from 1 species